AUUUCUUGCUUAGUUAACAGAAAAUGCUUACAAUUAAGUCUGAACUCAUUUAGUGCUCAGACUAAUUCACAUUAGAAAAAGGAUGUGACCUCGACUCCAGAUCCCUUUUCUAUGGCUCUUGCUUUACUUGAAGGUGUUGUGUUUCAUUUUGGUGGGGUUAGGGAGGCAGCGUGAGAGUCUGUAUUAUAUGACAUAUAUUGGCAGUGAGCAGUGCAGGGAAAAUACAGUGCACUGUUUUGGUGACACUGCCUUUACAGGUCUUCACAGGGUGGUGUCCACAGUUCCUGCACGUUGCUCUCCAGGUGGCCGCGUCUGCUCCAGCCAGCCGCCCCACGCGCUGCCCUGGGCCACAGGCGUCCGCUGCGGAGGCAUCCGGAAAGCAGCUGAGAAGAGUCCCAUGCCUCUCUGCCGCCAGCAUCACAGGUCAUGCGAGCAACACUGGCUGCACACAGGCAAGGCAUUGCAAUGAUACUGAGCCUGCUGGUGAACCAAGGAGCUGGUGACGUGAUGCCACAUGAUGAAGUUUCUCUUUUUUCAAUAUUUCUUUAAUUACCAAUGCAAAUUUAGUUUGUCCUUGAUGCAUACUUUGUGCACUCUUUAAUCACCUGAUUUAAUUUUUGUCCAGCACCCUUGUGCCCAGUAAGCAGGCUGGUCCUGCUCUUGGGACAAGUGAGGCUGGCCAAGGAAGGCGACUGCUGCCCACGGGAGCCUGGCUGUGUUUGAUAUCCAAAAUUAGUGGUUGUAAUUAUUGCAACAUUCAGUUAAGAGCUCUGUCUUAAUGCAUCUGAGCAAAACAAUCAGAGUUAAGAUUGCAAUAACCACCUUAAUUUUAAUAUUUCCUAACUUUGAGUGCUUGGCUGUGAAACAAAAACAUUAUUUUAUGGUAAACUUUGGUGUGAUUUUAAUUAUGCUGUAGUUUGCACAGUUCAAAACGACAGCAUGUUCUAAGGGGCUGUGCAGACUUUUGCCCAGGUGGGCCAAGGAAAGGCAUGCACAGAAUCAUUUUGGCCUCAGCGCUGCUCACUCCAGGACGCUGACCAGAGGCUCGUUGGAAGUGUUGGAAGGGAGCCCGGCGCAAGCCUGAGCAAAGGGGUAUCUAUGGCAGACGAACAAUUGCUCAACACAGCUCUCUUCUGUAAUCAAAGCUGGCUCCCUGCCUUCUUUCAGAAAAGCUUUGAUUGAUCCCUGCAUUUCAGGACCAGGGAGACAUGAAUCAAAUCCAAGGCAGGGUGGUGGACUCUGCUCCAGACAGGUAUUGUGCAUGGCACAGAGAGAGAAGCUGCCACAUGUGUCUCUUGCAGUGGCUCUUCCCAUGAGGAAAUACAAAAGUGCAUGCAUGUAUAUGUGUGCAUGCACACCACCACAGUCUGCAAAACGUCUUGCGAUUCAGAUUCCUUGUUGCUCAACAACUAAUUAAGGCAAACUGCAAAUCUGCAUGACUGUUAAGCAGAGGCCUGUGGAGAGCAGCU
rnacentral:lncRNA from 1 species